UACGAAGGGGGCUAGCGUUGUCCGGAAUCACUGGGCGUAAAGGGCGCGUAGGCGGCUCAUGAAGGCUGUGGUGAAAGUCCGGGGCUCAACCUCGGAUCGGCCGUGGCGACUCGUGGGCUGGAGCACUGUAGAGGCGGGUGGAAUUCCGGGUGUAGCGGUGGAAUGCGUAGAGAUCCGGAAGAACACCAGUGGCGAAGGCGACUUACUGGACACAUAUUGACGCUGAGGUGCGAAAGCGUGGGGAGCAAACAGG
rnacentral:rRNA from 1 species